rnacentral:rRNA from 1 species
CGGCAACAGCUCAAAUUUGAAAUCUGGCGCAAGCCCGAGUUGUAAUUUGUAGAGGAUGCUUCUGGGUAGCGACCGAUCUAAGUUCCUUGGAACAGGACGUCAUAGAGGGUGAGAAUCCCGUAUGUGACCGGCCCGCACCCUUUACGUAGCUCCUUCGAC